GAUGAAGAACGUAGCGAAAUGCGAUAAGUAAUGUGAAUUGCAGAAUUCAGUGAAUCAUCGAAUCUUUGAACGCACAUUGCGCCCGCCAGUAUUCUGGCGGGCAUGCCUGUUCGAGCGUCAUUUCAACCCUCAGGCCCCGCCUGGCGUUGGGGAUCGGCGCGGCCCUCUCCGGGCUGCCGGCCCCGAAAACUAGUGGCGGUCUCGCUGUAGUCCUCCUCUGCGCAGUAGCAACGCUCGCACUGGAACCCGGCGCGGCCACGCCGUAAAACACCCCACUUCUGAAAGUUGACCUCGGAUCAGGUAGGAAUACCCGCUGAACUUAAGCAUAUCAAUAAGCGGAGGA
rnacentral:misc_RNA from 1 species